rnacentral:rRNA from 1 species
GACGAACGCUGGCGGCGUGCUUAACACAUGCAAGUCGAACGGUAAGGCCCUUCGGGGUACACGAGUGGCGAACGGGUGAGUAACACGUGGGUGAUCUGCCCUGCACUUCGGGAUAAGCCUGGGAAACUGGGUCUAAUACCGGAUAGGACCAUGGACUUCACGGUUUGUGGUGGAAAGCUUUUGCGGUGUGGGAUGGGCCCGCGGCCUAUCAGCUUGUUGGUGGGGUAAUGGCCUACCAAGGCGACGACGGGUAGCCGGCCUGAGAGGGUGUCCGGCCACACUGGGACUGAGAUACGGCCCAGACUCUUACGGGAGGCAGCA